AUCCGACAUUUCAAUUGCCGACCAAAAUUGCAGCAACGACAGAUGCUGAUUACACGACUGAUUUACUCACCAUUAACGAUACAACUACUAUUUCUGCUCCCACGACUGAAAUAAUCACCAAAAAUGAUAAAACCACACAAACCG